rnacentral:rRNA from 1 species
GAUGAACGCUGGCGGCGGGCCUAAUACAUGCAAGUCGAGCGAACAGACGAGGAGCUUUCUCCUCUGACGUUAGCGGCGGACGGGGGAGUAACACGUGGAGAACCUACCUAGAAGACGGGGAUAACUUCGGGAAACCGGAGCUAAUACCGGAUAAUAUAUGGAACCGCAUGGUUCAAUAGUGAAAGACGGUUUUGCUGUCACUUAUAGAUGGAUCCGCGCCGCAUUAGCUAGUUGGUAAGGUAACGGCUUACCAAGGCGACGAUGCGUAGCCGAGCUGAGAGGGUGAUCGGCCACACUGGAACUGAGACACGGUCCAGACUCCUACGGGAGGCAGCAGUAGGGAAUAUUCCGCAAUGGGCGAAAGCCUGACGGAGCAACGCCGCGUGAGUGAUGAAGGUCUUCGGAUCGUAAAACUCUGUUAUUAGGGAAGAACAAAUGUGUAAGUAAAUAUGCACGUAUUGACGGUACCUAAUCAGAAAGCCACGGCUAACUACGUG